GUGUGUGUGAGGAGCAAGAACGAGCAGUACAAAAACCUUGGGGUCGAAACACGGCAAGACUCCCAGGGUUUUUGUGAU
rnacentral:sRNA from 1 species